rnacentral:rRNA from 1 species
AACGAACGCUGGCGGCAUGCCUAACACAUGCAAGUCGAACGAGACCUUCCGGGCUUGUGGCGCACGAGUGCGUAACGCGUGGGAACCUGCCCUUAGGUUCGGAAUAACUCCCCGAGAGGGGUGCUAGUACCGGCUAAUGUCUUCGGACCAAAGAUUUAUCGCCUUUGGAUGGGCCCGCGUUGGAUUAGCUAGUUGGUAGGGUAAAAGCCUACCAAGGCGACGAUCCAUAGCUGGUCAGAGAGGAUGAUCAGCCACACUGGCACUGAGACACGGCCAGGACUCCUACGGGAGGGAGCAGUGGGGAAUAUUGGACAAUGGGCGAAAGCCUGAUCCAGCUAUGCCGCGUGAGUGAUGAAGGCCUUAGGGUUGUAAAGCUCUUUUACCCGGGAUGAUAAUGACAGUACCGGGAGAAUAAGCGCCGGCUAACUCCGUG